GAAUUCCCAGAGCUUGGAAAAGUUACUUUUCCAAGCUCUGGGAAUUCCAGGAUUCCACCGUAGCUGUGACUGGUCAGCUGCUUACAGCACCGUGCCCACUCGAAAAGGGAAGGAGGCGGGAAGAUCGUGCUCCUUCUAACUCAGGUCUUAUGUCGUGUUUUUAAAAAGUUUACAAAAAAAGUUAUGCCAAUGCAUGCAAAUCCGCCUAGAAGUACAGUCUAUUCCCCAUAUAGCGAAGGGAGGUAAUAGUGGCUGACAUAAUGGCUUCCAAGACCCCCCCCCGUGUAGUCCACUCUUAAUAUUGUCGACUUCAACUUCCUCCCACUAUUAUUCCACUCCAUUCUUCAUAAAAGACUCGUCUUUGAAUGCAUCAAAAGUCAGUCUUCUUGACUUCAUCCUGCCCUUUGUGUCAAUUGGUAUGUCUCUUUUGACUUUGGGGCAGAGCAGUCCAACUCAGGGGAAGCCGGCAGAAGGGGUGCCAAUGGAGGAGGAGCCAGCAGAAAGCUCCCCAGCAUCCACUUGCUGUUUGGGAGCCACCAGGCCAGUGGAAUGUCAGCUCAGCUAGGAGCUGCACACAUGAACAGAAAAGAAAAAGCGAUCUCUCACAAAUACCCCUACCAGCAAGUAAGCACUCCCCAUUGACUCCCAUCAUCAUUAUUUUGUUAGAUAGACCUUUCUCUUUGGCCUGGAUCGGGACCUCCGCAGGAGCACUUCAAAUCAGUUCCAGUUAAUUUAAAAUACUACAGCUGUUUAUGAAAUUAGAAACAUCUGAAAACUGAUCUGAUGGGACUACUUUUUGAUAGAAGGGUUAUCUAACCACUCUGGAGCUGAAUGGAUUCUACAGUUCAAAAUGGGGUUGACAGGUCUCCAGUUUUCGCCUGAAGACUCUGGAUUUUUGGGGUCCUCUCUGGUGGACUGGAGCUAGGCUCCCCCCACACACACAUUUCAACUGAUACGCAGACGUGAAAGAGGUAGCAAACGAUGUUCCUUCUGGAAUCUGCCACCUUAAGCAGACUGUUUCUCCUUAGGACUGGUCCUGUCUGAGGUGGAUUCAUCACUUUGCUUUGUGCAGGUGUUCAGACUCCUUAAAGCAAAAUGAAGAACAAUGGUGACAGCUGAUGAGAGAGAAUCACACACAAGGAAGUAGGUGGCCUCAACAGAAGCAGAAGUGGACUUCAUCUACUACUACCACCACCACCACCUAGAAGCCUACCAAGAGCCUCCUCUACCUUGUAUGGACAGUGUGAUAUGACAAGCCAGGUACACAGACUCACACAACAAUCUGUGCAAACUUGGGCUAUUAUUCCUUUGUUGGGGGGGGAGCAUAGUUUCAGGUUGACAAACUUUCACUCUUCCAUGCUCCAGGCAUGUUUUCUCUUUGUGAGGUAUCCACAGAGACGAGGCAACCAGUGGCAGAUAACUGAGCAGAGCCCAAGAAUUUCCCACCACCUACUCAGAUCCAGUCCAAGGAAAUCCAGGAGUGCAGAAGACCCACAAUGCACCUUUCUUAUUAGUUGCUUAUUCUUGAUUAUUAAUGAGAUGAUGUUGCCUUCAGUGUUUAUCCGGGGAAUGGUAACCUUGACUAUUUUUGCAUAGUUGGAAAUUGCUCGUUUAGGGCAUGACCCCUGCAACAGAAGCAAGAGACAUUGUUAGGUAAUUAUGCAAGACAAAAUCCUUUAAAUAAAUAGGUUGGCACUGAAAAGUUAAAACAAAAAUUGCUGCAGUUGGUGCAAGGUACUUUUUGGCCUCUUCAUGGGACAGCAGGUCCAGCCUUACUGACUGCUGCACUCCACAUAUUAAACACACUUAUCUGAUGGUACAGGAAGCCUUGGACUAUGACCACACCAUUUGGAACCACAGAUCCAAAACAAAACUGAAAACAAGUAGUUGAAGUGCAAAGGGUUUCUUGUUGAAUAGUGUGCCCCAACAAAACAUCUUAUACCACAUUUGAAAGAGAUAGGCACACCUCUGGAAAUUAUAUGCAGGUCCAAAAUGUCAUGAAAAAGGCAACACUGAAAUAAGAUAUGUGCCUUGUACAUUGCUCAUAAACUGGCACAAAUGUCAUGCAUGUCUUUGUCACGUUGUAUGACGUGCGUAAAGUACAAACAUGGUGGUGUGACCUCAAGCCAUCCCUAUAUUGAAAAAGGUCUACUUACGCUACUUACAUUCAUAGCAUGACAAAGUGGUAUAUUGAGAGAUGUCUCAUGUUAAGCAAAGAACUCCACUUGUCUUUAUCAAUGCAUAGCAGAGCCAAGCACAUCUGUGUGAUCUCCCAUGCCCAAUUAAUUUGCUAGUUUUUCCUCUUUCUUUGUUGUACAGACAUGCUGUUUUAGUACUGAAACAGUGUACAGGUGUGCAGUUAUUAUGAAAAGUUUUUCUUAUUUUAGGAGAGUAACAGAUAAAUAAUUUCUGUCUGUGUCUCUCUGUCUGUCUCCCUCCCUCCCUCUCUUUAAAUUAAUCCAAUAUAUGAGCAAGGGUGAAGACAAUGAAAACUAAGCACAUACAUUAUAUACAGGAGAUUAGGAAACACCAGAGAAUAUGAGGUGAAUGUGCAAUGUUAUGAAUGUGAAUUAAGUCAUUCAUGUGAAUGUGAUACCAACCAACACCUUGCCAAAUGGAAAACUGUUGUGUCCCCAGAUGCGGGCUUAGUAGAUGGAGAUGGGUCCUCUGAAAAUGCACCUGUGUCUGCCAAACAUAGUGUUCCAAGCAGCCCUCUGAAUUGGAGGUGAAGGAUAAGAGCUCAAUAUGGAAAAGAAGUCCCCUGGGCCUAUGAAAUGAUAAGGGUCACUAUCCUAAGUGACAAGUAUGGGGGAAAAGUUCCCCCACCUGCUCCACAAUGACAAUGGGUUAAGGAGAAUUCUGUAGUACCUGCAGGUAUGCAAUCUCACUCCUGAGGGAACGAUUCGAUAUAAUAUCCUUCCGAAUUUGCUUGACAAGGAAGUUCCAGUGUGGACUCACUUUGGCACAUCUAUUCAGGGAUUUCAGGUCCAGCAUUCCUAGAGGAUCACAAAAGGAAGUUUGUUGAUCUGAUGCUUCCUAAAAGGGUAUCAUUCGAGAGCUGUUGCAGGGCCAGAUUAAGACAUGCUGAGGACCUAAACUAGGUAAAGUUUAAGAGACACCAUAUAGUCACCAAAAAUAAAACAAAAACAGAAAGGUCAAUGAAAAUAGAAAUAAUAAAGUUUCAUAUUUGCAUAUAUACCAGUAGAUAGGCGAGGAUGCAACUAAAAACUAACCAUCUAACUAAAAUAUGUAUCUUGCAAUAAAAGCCUGGUGCAAUCUGCGCUUGACCUGAGCCAGACCUCACCUGCUAUCACUGCUGUUUGACAAUUUAUGGAAGACACUUAAUGAAAUGUUGAUAUAAAUUAUAGUUAUUUCUGCACAGAUUUAUAAACCGCCCUGAGCUCCUACUGGGAACAAGGGUGGGAUAUAAAUCAGAUUAAAAACAAACACAAUAUAACAAAUAAUUGUGUAGCCUUUCAGUAUAUUUUUGUCAU